AGCAAAUUGUGCAUUUGGUGAUUUUAGCAGAAAAGAGAAAAUGUGUUUUUCUUUUUGUUUGUUUGCUUGGAUUUUUUUGUCAUUGGAGCUGCUGAAGCAUGGAAUGGGUCCAACACACUUGGAGCAACAAAUGACUGUGAAAGGGCAAACAUUUUCUGUCACUUUGGGUUCACUUUGAAUGCAGUGCUACAGGUGUAGAAUCAAACUUCUAAGCCAGGGCUGAUCAAAGUGUAGGAGAACCAGCCCACCUUAUCAACAGCUGUGUCCCUCUAUUACAUUAUUGCUAUUAUUUCUGGUCCUCUACUCUUUUCUUCUUUUUUCUCUUUACACCUUUCCCACCCACCUUAAUUUAUUUUGCCUUUUUCCAUUACAUUUGAA